GGUUAUCUUAUAUUAUUGGGGAAGGUGAAGCUACUCUAAUGUUUCACGAGCCAAAGCGGAUGGUGUGGUGUCUGAUGCGAGCAAAAAGAAGAAGGCAGUCGCCUCAGCCAAGAGAGGAGUACAAGCUUUGAUGAACAUAAAGAAUGGUCUAGAUGAUCCACAUAGUGUCUUGAAUUGGGAUGCAGAUGCUGUUGAUCCAUGUAGUUGGACUAUGAUCACUGUUCUAUU